CUAAACCUUGGUUAUGACGGGAGGAAAAAGGUUUUCUCAUAACAUUUUUAGGUUGGCCAAUUUCUUGAUUACCAUGCAUACUUUUAGCUUGGUGAAAUAUGUAAUUAACUACAAACUGAGUAAUCUGCUUAUUGCUUCUUAUGAUGUUGAUUCUGUAGGAACAGACCCUCUCCUUUGAAUUUGAGACUGAAGAGAAGUUCUUAAAAAUCAGCGAAUCUCCAGUGAGAUCAGCAUAGUUCAUUGCUCGGGAAAAUGGAUUGUUGCUACUACAAUUAUGACAAAAUGGAAAAGAUAGUAGAAUUUGCAGAACAUAAAGAUUAUAUUAGGAGUUUGGCUGCUCAUCCUGUCCUUCCAUAUGUAAUAUGAGCUUCAGAUGAUCAAGUUCUAAAAUUGUGGAAUUGGAAGAAAGGUUGGUCUUGUUAUAAGAACUUUGAAGGGCACUCACAUAAUGUGAUGCAAGUGACAUUCAACCCUGAGGAUCCAUCAACUUUUGCUAGUGCAUCCCUUGAUGGAACCUUGAAGAUAUGAAUAUGAUAGUAUCUUAUAACUGCAAAUCUUAAUUGACAAACAUUUUGCUUUAAUUUUCUCUUUUUGUAGAUUUGGAGUCUUUAUUCAUCAGCUCCAAACUUUACCCUAGACGGACGCCAGAAAGGAGUGAAUUGUGUUGAUUACUUCAUAACCAAUGACAAACAAUAUCUUUUAAGUGGUUCUGAUGAUUACACUGCCAAUGUUUGCAUAUCAAUAUAUAAUUACUCUUUAGUCUUAUCUGUUUUUCAGUCUUUUGAGUUCAUUUUUUUUUUCUCUCCUUUUAUUUUGGCAUCAAUACUAUAAAUGAAAAUUUACACCCAGCAGGUUCUCAUUCAAAACUACAUUUACUGCUUGUACACAUUAACUUGCAGGCU